GCGAGCGGGACAGGAAGUCUUCCUCUCACUCCGGCUGCUGUCGAACCGCAGAAGUAAAGAAUGGCCCAGCGACCUCAACACCCAGCAGGUGUGAAGAAGCACCACCUGACUGCCAUGUUCAGCAUCAUCGCUUCAUUUUCACUCGACCAGCCCACGUGGUCUCCUCGAGGCUGGCUGCAGAUUCAGAGCUGCCUCUCCAAAGCCUCUGUGACCAGAUGACACGAGCAGACCGGUCCUUGUCCCAUUGUGUCAGCACCAACGGAGGAGCUUCUACAGAUGAAGUCAGGAGAGGUCUGGGUCGGUACAUAUAGUAUACAGAUAGUCAGGUGUGGCAUCACAGAGUGAAGAUGGGAAGACCACACAGAUCCGUCCCCAGGUGACUUCAGCCAUGCCCAGUUCAGCUGGACGUCAUCAUACUUCUGCCACCUCUCAUACUGUCCUCUCCAGGUCUUCCCUCGUCUUCGUCCUGGCUGUGGUUGCAGUUUGGUGGCCGAUGGUCGUCUCUGUGCUGCUGUGGCCCCAAGGUGCCAUAUUUUACCCUUCACUACAACACAUCAAGUUGUACUUUAUGGAACAUGUAUUAUUGAGUCCAGAAUUUUACAUCAUUGAAAAUUUUAUAUUGUUUCAUAUAAUUUGAUCUAAAACUUCAAGCAAAUCUUGGCUUAUGUUGAUCUUUGUGGUUAAAAAUUAGGUUUACUGAAGUUUUCAAUAUUGAGCAAAAUAUUGUCUGCACUGAAAAGUUUAUGAUAUUUGUCAAGUAAGUUCUGGUUUGACUAUGUGUUACUGAUAUAAUUUAACAUUUUUCCCUUAUUUCUGUCACUAUAGCACUGGGCUUAACGUUGAUGUUGAUUCUCAAUCACAUACUUAUCCACGUAGUGCACAACAAAAAGCAGCUUGGAUGAUACUCUUCAACAUCAACAUGAGGGCGAAUGGUUCUCUACAUUUAGAAAACAAAAGGAUGUCAGUUUGUUUUCAUUUCACACAUGUAAAGACUAAUACAAAGCAGCUGGAACAGGUUCAUUGUACUGAACAUCAAUCAAGAUUUCUCCCUAAUUUUGCUUGUACUGUAUUGCUCAGCCCUAUAUACGUCUUCUUCUUACUCAUUUGUGUUUAUUGGGAUCUGUUGUUACCUUGGUAAUAAGUAUUCUUACUCGGGUUCGUAUUCCACGAGGAAUGAUUAACGUAUUCUAAUUAAUAACAUAGUAUUCUUGUCAGUCUACUUUUCUCAUGGAUUUAAUAGACGUGUACAGGUAUAACCGUUUCACUUUUUACUGAUGAAAACCUGCUGAUAGUUAUAACACCGGUGACUAUUUCUAUUAUCACGACUGUCAUUUUCAGAGUGCGCCCUAAACACAGCACAGUACUCCUGCCUUCAUUCACAAUUUUACUUUGAUUAGUCAUGAGGGAGUGCUUUUAUGCUUUUAUACCAGAGAGGGAGAGCUUGCUUUUUUCAUGACUGACUCAAAACUGCAUGAAUCCUUUCUUACUGGUCAGGUUUGGCUUUGUCCACAGCGAAGGUUUCACUGCAGGUUUGGGCCACACUGUUUGCAUCACCCAAUAAGCAGAGGACAGCCAGUUUGUCUGUGUUUCCACAGCAGACAAACAGUGCCUCAUCAGGGUCUCCACAGAAAGUGCUUUCCCCCCUGUCCACCCAUCUUUCCCUCCACCCUGUCACAACCCCUCCAUCUCCAUCUCCUCACCACAACGGGCUGAAGGAAGCCGAUGAAGGUGCAGAAGCGACCCCUCUCCUCCACGAGGGCCCGGCGCACUGCCUGUUUCUCCGUCUCCUCCAUCAGCAGGCACAUGUCGGUCACAUCCUGCAUGGCACUGUCCAGCUGAGGCUGCAGGUCCCCUCGCCCUGGGGUGGGGAUGGUACAGUGGUGGUGAGAGAAAAAAAAUAUUUGUCAGAGGAGGGUGAGAUAGGCAGCUCAAGGAGAGGAAAAUGGUAGAGAGGUAUGAAGGAAAGAACAGAGGUUUUCACCAGAGGGGGUCGAUGACAAGGAAGUAGGAAAUAAAAAUGGAGGUGCAGAUAGUGUAAGUGCUGUGGGAUGUCUCUCCACCAGCAUCUGCUUCCUAUAAUGCACUGCUCCAUCAAACCACUGGAAAAUGGCACAUUAUGAAACAUGGACUGAGUGACACAAAGUAAGCAGCAACACCUUGUUUGAUGUUUUGGCUCUGUUUUAAUUUUCAUACAGAAUCUAUACUGUAAGUGCAUCAUGCUAAGUUUAGAUUUUAGAUCAUUAUAUUGGACAGACAGCAGCCACACUAAUGACAGAAUAUUUACUAAUAAUUUUACUUGUAUGCAGCAGAAACAAGCUGUGAGCACAUUCCGCUUAGGUGAACUUGCUAGCAAACUGUUGCACAUCUAGUUGAGACACCGCAACAUUAGCAUUCAUGUUCAUGUGCACCUGCAAAUGUAAAUCCAAUAUUCACUAGCUUUUAGCUCUGUUUUAGACACCACCAACAUCUGAGGGAAAUAUCUGGCUCUUUAGCUGCUAAAUGUUCCACUACAUUCACCAGCUAGUCGCUAACUUUGUCUGUUGGCUGUUUGGUGCUGGACAGGGAGAGUACAGUGGGUUUUAGAGCACUUUGCACUUUAAAAAAAGCUUUAAUAAAGUGUGAUGAUUGCUUUUGUCUCGGCAUAGGCUGAAAUUCAAAUGCAAGACAGUUCAGUCUUGUGGACACUUUUUGUGCUCGCUGUAUCACAGCUGCCACUUUUUGUGGAGACACCCAGUCUUGCUGAAGACGUUCAGUUUUCUGUGGUCUUUCAUUGUGUCACCUUAGACUUGGGUUAAAUGUAUACAUAAAAAGUUGAUCACAGUAUGUGAGCGUAUGCAAUUUUCCCUCUCUAUCACUGUGUCAGACCCCACCCAAUGUAAUGGCAGUACAGAGCCAAAGCACAAAUAAUGUGUUUCUGUCUUAAAACUUGCUGUGAUCGCACAGCAGUCGCUCGAUGGCAUCAGGUAAGACAGAAGUAUUGAAUAGAAAAUCUGAAUCCUAUCUCCUGUUAACAAAAAAAAAAAAAAAAAACAUGAAAUGCAUGAAUGGAAAGUAAGACAUGAAAUAACUCUUUGUAGUGUUACAGCAUGCAAAACAGUGUGCGGAGAUGUCUGCAGGAACAGAGAUAGAAUGACAGACAGAACCAGAGAGGAGGGGCAGCAUGAGAGCAGAAAGCCUGCUGUGAGACUACAAAGCUAAUAGUAGCAGCUACCGAAGUCAUGCAGGAGUCAAGGAGGAAGAACUUAAAUUACAUCAUGCAGUGUCUCCAACUUCUCAAACAGCUAUAGAAUACAUAAUAAAACUACAGAAGCUGAAAAACCUGAAGUGAAGCAUCUUUAGGAACUGCAGUGUUGCAACUAGUUCUCUAAGAAGUCACAGUAGCUCCCUUCAUACACAGUGUAUUUUUGGAUGGAGGAAAAACAACGUAAUCUUAGAAAGAUUAUCUAUUUCACGACCUCCUCCAGUGCUUAGAGCACGACACAAAACAAAACUAGGUUUUCAGAAACGUUUUUGUACAUUUUAAUAAAGGUGUAAUGUUGGCAGU